UACGUAGAGUGCGAGCGUUAAUCGGAAUUACUGGGCGUAAAGCGUGCGCAGGCGGUUCGUUAAGUUCGUUGUGAAAGCCCCGGGCUCAACCUGGGAAUGGCAAUGGAAACUGGCGAGCUUGAGUGUGGCAGAGGGGGGUGGAAUUCCGCGUGUAGCAGUGAAAUGCGUAGAGAUGCGGAGGAACACCGAUGGCGAAGGCAGCCCCCUGGGCCAACACUGACGCUCAGGCACGAAAGCGUGGGGAGCAAACAGG
rnacentral:rRNA from 1 species